GAUGAACGCUGGCGGCGUGCCUAAUACAUGCAAGUCGAGCGAACAGACGAGGAGCUUGCUCCUCUGACGUUAGCGGCGGACGGGUGAGUAACACGUGGAUAACCUACCUAUAAGACUGGGAUAACUUCGGGAAACCGGAGCUAAUACCGGAUAAUAUAUUGAACCGCAUGGUUCAAUAGUGAAAGACGGUUUUGCUGUCACUUAUAGAUGGAUCCGCGCCGCAUUAGCUAGUUGGUAAGGUAACGGCUUACCAAGGCAACGAUGCGUAGCCGACCUGAGAGGGUGAUCGGCCACACUGGAACUGAGACACGGUCCAGACUCCUACGGGAGGCAGCAGUAGGGAAUCUUCCGCAAGGGGCGAAAGCCUGACGGAGCAACGCCGCGUGAGUGAUGAAGGUCUUCGGAUCGUGAAACUCUGUUAUUAGGGAAGAACAAAUGUGUAAGUAACUAUGCACGUCUUGACGGUACCUAAUCAGAAAGCCACGGCUAACUACGUG
rnacentral:rRNA from 1 species